AUGUGCUGUGAGCUCGAUGAGUAGGGCGGGACACGUGGUAUCCUGUCUGAAUAUGGGGGGACCAUCCUCCAAGGCUAAAUACUCCUGACUGACCGAUAGUGAACCAGUACCGUGAGGGAAAGGCGAAAAGAACCCCGGCGAGGGGAGUGAAAAAGAACCUGAAACCGUGUACGUACAAGCAGUGGGAGCACAGGUUUACCUGUGUGACUGCGUACCUUUUGUAUAAUGGGUCAGCGACUUAUAUUCUGUAGCAAGGUUAACCGAAUAGGGGAGCCGGAGGGAAACCGAGUCUUAAUUGGGCGUUAAGUUGCAGGGUAUAGACCCGAAACCCGGUGAUCUAGCCAUGGGCAGGUUGAAGGUUGGGUAACACUAACUGGAGGACCGAACCGACUAAUGUUGAAAAAUUAGCGGAUGACCUGUGGCUGGGGGUGAAAGGCCAAUCAAACCGGGAGAUAGCUGGUUCUCCCCGAAAGCUAUUUAGGUAGCGCCUCGUGAAUUCAUCUCCGGGGGUAGAGCACUGUUUCGGCUAGGGGGCCAUCCCGGCUUACCAACCCGAUGCAAACUGCGAAUACCGGAGAAUGUUAUCACGGGAGACACACGGCGGGUGCUAACGUCCGUCGUGAAGAGGGAAACAACCCAGACCGCCAGCUAAGGUCCCAAAGUCAUGGUUAAGUGGGAAACGAUGUGGGAAGGCCCAGACAGCCAGGAUGUUGGCUUAGAAGCAGCCAUCAUUUAAAGAAAGCGUAAUAGCUCACUGGUCGAGUCGGCCUGCGCGGAAGAUGUAACGGGGCUAAACCAUGCACCGAAGCUGCGGCAGCGACGCUUAUGCGUUGUUGGGUAGGGGAGCGUUCUGUAAGCCUGUGAAGGUGGCCUGUGAGGGUUGCUGGAGGUAUCAGAAGUGCGAAUGCUGACAUAAGUAACGAUAAAGCGGGUGAAAAGCCCGCUCGCCGGAAGACCAAGGGUUCCUGUCCAACGUUAAUCGGGGCAGGGUGAGUCGACCCCUAAGGCGAGGCCGAAAGGCGUAGUCGAUGGGAAACGGGUUAAUAUUCCCGUACUUGGUGUUACUGCGAAGGGGGGACGGAGAAGGCUAUGUUGGCCGGGCGACGGUUGUCCCGGUUUAAGCGUGUAGGUGUGUGUUCCAGGUAAAUCCGGUUCACUUUAACACUGAGGCGUGAUGACGAGGCACUACGGUGCUGAAGUAACAAAUGCCCUGCUUCCAGGAAAAGCCUCUAAGCAUCAGGUAACAUCAAAUCGUACCCCAAACCGACACAGGUGGUCAGGUAGAGAAUACCAAGGCGCUUGAGAGAACUCGGGUGAAGGAACUAGGCAAAAUGGUGCCGUAACUUCGGGAGAAGGCACGCUGACAC
rnacentral:rRNA from 1 species